rnacentral:rRNA from 1 species
UACGUAGGGUGCAAGCGUUGUUCGGAUUCAUUGGGCGUAAAGGGCGCGUAGGCGGCGGGGUAAGUCGGGUGUGAAAUCUCAGAGCUCAACUCUGAAAUGGCACUUGAUACUGCUCUGCUAGAGGACUGGAGAGGAGAUUGGAAUUCACGGUGUAGCAGUGAAAUGCGUAGAUAUCGUGAGGAAGACCGGUGGCGAAGGCGGAUCUCUGGACAGUUCCUGACGCUGAGGCGCGAAGGCCAGGGGAGCAAACGGG